UGAAGUGUUGUGAAGCUAAUGCCAUGCUUGGGUGUGGCUAAAACCACGAGUUCAUGAUUUGCAAAAAUUGAAUCCAAGGUUGAAGAUGAAGUUGGUUCAACGCGCGUUUUGGUACCAAAUUUCAAAUCCAGCCAAUCACAACUAGCCAUUGCAUAUUUUUGAAUUCCCUAGACGUUGGCGCCUUAUUCUAUUUUUAUUUAUUUUUCUUUUCAUUUCUUUUAUUUCAUUUAUU
rnacentral:lncRNA from 1 species